CUUUGUUUUGCCGAAAAUUGAAGAACAAAGAACACCUUUGGUGUUUUAAACAUUCGGCAGUUAGGAAGCUAAAAUUUGAUCAAGAAUUGAAGAAGUCGAAUUUGGAUCGGGGAAAAACAAAAGUAGUCGAAUAGUCGAACGUCUCCGUCUAUAUCCGAGGCUAAGUGUCGGUGAUCUAAAUCAAGUUAUAAGCCUAGCAGGCUAAGUGCCGGUGAACUGAAUCAAGCUAUAAGCGUAGCAGGCUAAGUGCCGGUGAUUUGAAUCAGGCUAUAAGCCUAGCAGGCUAAGUGCCGGUGAUCUGAAUCAGGCUAUAAACCUAGCAGGCUAAGUGCCGGUGAACUGGAUUAGGCUAUAAGUCUAGCAGGCUAAGUGCUGGUGAUCUGAAUCAGGCUAUAAGCCUAGCAGGCUAAGUGCCAGUGAACUGGAUUAGGCUAUAAGCCUAGCAGGCUAAGUGCUGGUGAUCUGAAUCAGGCUUUAAGCCUAACAAGCUAAGUGCCAGUGAAUUUGUUUAUAUUAAGUGAUUAUUUGCAUUGGGUAUAUAUAUGAUUUUGGUUAUAUGUAAUGGAUAAAUAUAUGAACAUUUGUUUCUAAGUAUUUGAUGAGCAUAUAAACGUUCGAAUCUUUUUGUUUAGUGAGUAUAUAUAUAUGUUGGUUAUCAUGAAAUUGUUGGAUAUAUAUAUGUGUAUGCACUCGACAUAUGUGGAUUAUAGUAAAAUAUAUAUGUG